rnacentral:rRNA from 1 species
AAGAAAUCAGUUCAGCACUAAGUCACUUUGUCUUUAUGGCAAAUGUGAGAUGCAGUGUAUGGAAUGUCAAAUUUCUAGUAUGAGAAAUUAACGAUUUAAGUCCUUCUUAAAUGAGGCCAUUUACCCAAAGAGGGUGCCAGGCCCGUAUAACGUUAAUGAUUACUAGAUGACAUUUCCAAAGAGUCGUGUUGCUUGAUAGUGCAGCACUAAGUGGGUGGUAAACUCCAUCUAAAACUAAAUAUAACCAUGAGACCGAUAGUAAACAAGUACCGUGAGGGAAAGUUGAAAAGAACUCUGAAUAGAGAGUUAAAUAGUACGUGAAACUGCUUAGAGGUUAAGCCCGAUGAACCUGAAUAUCCAUUAUGGAAAAUUCAUCAUUAUGAUUUUAAUAUUUAUAAUAUUAUAAUAAUGGUGUGCAUUUUUUCCAUAUAAGGACAUUGUAAUCUAUUAAUGUUAAACACAUUUAUUAUAAGAUCAUUAGCUUUAGUUUAUUCAAAUUAUUUUGCUUGCAAAUUUAACAUAGAAUAAAUGCUUUUGAUUUGAUAAAGUGUUGAUAGAUUUAUUAUAUAUAGUGCUUGAAUAUAUUUAUAUAUUCUAUAAUAGCGUAUUGAUCACUGAUUUUUAUGUUCAUUAUAUGCACUUAUAUGAUUAACAAUGCGAAAGAUUCAGGAUACCUUCGGGACCCGUCUUGAAACACGGACCAAGGAGUCUAACAUAUUUGCAAGUUAUUGGGAAUUAUAAACCUAAUAGCGAAAUUAACAUAACUUAUAUAAUGGGAUUAGUUUUUAUGUCUAUAUUUAUAUAGUCUAUUAAUUCAAUCCCGGGGCGUUCUAUACGGUUAUGUAUAAUAAUAUUUAUAUUAUUUAUACCUCUAACUAGAGCGUACCUUGAGCAUAUAUGCUGUGACCCGAAAGAUGGUGAACUAUACUUGAUCAGGUUGAAGUCAGGGGAAACCCUGAUGGAAGACCGAAACAGUUCUGACGUGCAAAUCGAUUGUCAGAAUUGAGUAUAGGGGCGAAAGACCAAUCGAACCAUCUAGUAGCUGGUUCCCUCCGAAGUUUCCCUCAGGAUAGCUGGUGCAUUUAAAAAUUAUGUAAAAUAAUCUUAUCUGGUAAAGCGAAUGAUUAGAGGCCUUAGGGUCGAAACGAUCUUAACCUAUUCUCAAACUUUAAAUGGGUAAGAACCUCACCUUUCUUGGUAUGAAGGUUGUGGUUGUGAUAUAAUGUGCCCAGUGGGCCACUUUUGGUAAGCAGAACUGGCGCUGUGGGAUGAACCAAACGUAAUGUUACGGUGCCCAAAUUAACAACUCAUGCAGAUACCAUGAAAGGCGUUGGUUGCUUAAAACAGCAGGACGGUGGACAUGGAAGUCGUAAUCCGCUAAGGAGUGUGUAACAACUCACCUGCCGAAGCAACUAGCCCUUAAAAUGGAUGGCGCUUAAGUUGUAUACCUAUACAUUACCGCUAAAGUAGAUGGUUUAUGUUCAAUUUCGGUUGGAUAAUAAACUUUGAAACUUUAGUGAGUAGGAGGGUACAAUGGUGUGCAUAGAAGUGUUUGGCGUAAGCCUCAUGGAGCCGCCAUUGGUACAGAUCUUGGUGGUAGUAGCAAAUAAUCGAAUGAGAUCUUGGAGGACUGAAGUGGAGAAGGGUUUCGUGUGAACAGUGGUUGAUCACGAGUUAGUCGGUCCUAAGUUCAAGGCGAAAGCCGAAAAUUUUCAAGUUAUAAUGAAAGAGAGUAUUUUUUUACACUUUAGUAUUUUUACACUUGAAUAAUUUUGAACGAAAGGGAAUACGGUUCCAAUUCCGUAACCUGUUGAGUAUCCGUUUGUUAUUAAAUAUGGGCCUUGUGCUCAUCCUGGCAACAGGAACGACCAUAAAGAAGCCGUCGAGAGGUAUCGGAAGAGUUUUCUUUUCUGUUUUAUAGUCGUACUACCAUGGAAGUCUUUCGAAGAGAGAUAUGGUAGAUGGACUAGAAGAGCAUGACAUUUACUGUUGUGUCGAUAUUUUCUCCUCGGACCUUGAAAAUUUAUGGUGGGGUCACGCAAACUUCUCAACAGGCCGUACCAAUAUCCGCAGCUGGUCUCCAAGGUGAAGAGUCUCUAGUC